rnacentral:rRNA from 1 species
CGUGAGCGGCGGACGGGUGAGUAACGCGUGGGUAACCUGCCUCAUACAGGGGAGUAACAGUUAGAAAUGACUGCUAAUACCGCAUAAGACCACGGUACCGCAUGGUACAGUGGUAAAAACUCCGGUGGUAUGAGAUGGACCCGCGUCUGAUUAGGUAGUUGGUGGGGUAACGGCCUACCAAGCCGACGAUCAGUAGCCGACCUGAGAGGGUGACCGGCCACAUUGGGACUGAGACACGGCCCAG